rnacentral:rRNA from 1 species
GACAUAGGUGGCAAACGUUAUCCGGAUUUACUGGGUUUAAAGGGUGCGUAGGUGGGCCUGUAAGUCAGUGGUGAAAUCUUCAAGCUUAACUUGGAAACUGCCAUUGAUACUAUAGGUCUUGAAUUAUCUGGAGGUAAGCGGAAUAUGUCAUGUAGCGGUGAAAUGCUUAGAGAUGACAUAGAACACCCAUUGCGAAGGCAGCUUACUACGGAUUGAUUGACACUGAGGCACGAAAGCGUGGGGAUCAAACAGG